CCCCUCUUAGGGUUGCACCUGGAGAGUUUCCAGGGCUUUACCAGUCUUGACUAAGGGAGGGAGAGUCAAGCAGAGACAUACGCAUUCCAUUCCUAGCUUGGGCAGUGGCUAGCCAAUGGAAGGCAAUCUGCUGCAAGU
rfam:Ornithorhynchus anatinus chromosome 6, whole genome shotgun sequence.